GGACCUAAUUUUGAAAGAUGACAUUAAUAGAAUAAGCAUUAAUGGAAUAAUAUUUAAGCUGAUGUUAAUUAAAAUUAUUUCUUAGUAUUUAAGAUGGGCCUCUUUUUUGAUAAAUAAAUAUAAUAAUUUUGAAAAUAUUUUUGAAAAUAAAAGAUCAAGUACAAUCUCCACUUCAAUCAAAAUAAAAGAAAAAAAUAAAAAUGCUUUUGAAGC
rnacentral:lncRNA from 1 species